UUAAAUUUAUAGUUAGUAAUUUCAUAGAUAACACAUCAUUAUUUCAAGAUUACGUAAGAAAAUGGAUUUAGGAACAAAGUUGCAAAAACUACCCAUUAAAAGUUAAAAAUGAUUACAGUCACAAAGUGGCAGAAUGUACCAAAAAAAUUGCAUGUUGCUCCAUUAUCUUGGAACAUGGGUUGCUUUUUCUUGAUCCUUAAAAUUGAAAUGUUCAUGUGUUUUAGAUGAAACUGCCUAUUCUUUAAUCUUUGUCUGCAUCAAACCAUCCAAAGAUCUGUACUGCAAAAGGUGUUUUACCCUUCAAGGGAAUGUGUGUCUUUCCCUCUGAUCUCGCAUGGAAUUUGAGUAUAUACGUUCAUCCUCUCUAAAAAUUAUAAAAUCAUUAAAAAAUUAAAAUUGAAUAAUACUAUAUCAUAAAGAUUUAGCAAAAAAUACUAAAAAAAUAUUAACCGACUAUAUAACUAACUAAUUAUAUAUAUAUAUAUAUAUAUAUUUGUUGAGUAUUUUAUUUGAUAUAUAAACAUGUUAUAUUUUUUAAAAUUUUUUAAAUACUUAUUACUUUUGAUGACGAUAAAUUCAUUUAUUAAAAAAAUUUAUUCUCUUUUUUAUAUAAUUUAAUAAUUUUUUUCUUAUUUAAACUGUUUAAUUUUUUAUUAUAUUCAUAAUAUUUUUAUGAAAUUAUAUAAAUAGGUGUAUCUUAUAAAAUUAAAUAAAUAAAAAAAUUAAUAAUAUAAAUCGAAUCAAAAUAAAUUAUUAUGUUAUAAUUUGAUUUCCAUUUGAUUAUUUCAUUUAUUUUAAAUAUAUUUUUGUUAAUUUAGUUUUUUUUUUAUAUUUUAAGUAUAUAAUUCAAUAAUAUUUCCUUACUUUACAUAUAUAAAAGUAAAAGAAAUUUAUGUUAACCUAAACACUAAUUUUUAAUUAACUGCAUGUUUUACUUAAAAUUGAACCUUAUCAAAAUAAUUUCAUUAGGAUAAAUUUAAGAUAGAAUGCAACGAGGGGUCAAAAUCUUAAUAAAAAAUUAACUAUUUUAAUUGAUAAGCUAAUUAUUCAACUAUGAUAUAAUAAAAAAUCUUAAAAAUUCUAAUCCAAAUUAAAAUUAUAAAAAAUACUUUAGAGAAAAAAAGGACUAUUAAAUACUUAAAAUUCAUAAUUAAGGUGUUGUAUAUUGUAAUAUAAUACUUAAAAAAUAAAUUAUUUAAAGUGAAAGUUAUAAAUAUGAAUCCAAAUGGAUAUAGGAAUGUAAAAUAAUUAAAUAUCCUAAUUGAAGUAUUGAAAUUGUAACAUAAUACUCUUUAAACAGUAAAAAAAUAUUAUUUUACAAUAUAAAACAACUCAGCACUCCAUUUACCACCAUUUCUGCAAGCUUCCCAUAUGGAAUAUUUCAACACAUAGGCCUAACGGAGACAAAUAACCAUAAUCCACAGAUGAAAUCUUACAGUCUUGGAAAACAAGAGAUAUAUAUGUGUUUGCCUAACUAACAGGUGAGUUAGAAGACUGACCUCUUACGUCGUGCCGACUCCUCAGCUAGACCUUUCAGGUUUACCCUUGACGAUAGCUCGAGCUUAGCCAUUAAACUCCUAGAUCAGAUUGUCAAAAGGCCCAUUAAAUGCCUAACAGUAGUAGGUACCAGAAAUUUAAAGGAUUAAAGGAAAUUAAACCUGUCGGCAUGAGGUUGGAGGGCUAAUCAGGAAUCUCCAAAUUGUGCUAUCCGUGGGAGACGGCUUUUGUGGGUAUUGCUAAACAAAAUAUCUGCCAGAGCUGUAUUCACUGUAAAGAGAAAAUGAAACAGAAAUUCUUA
rnacentral:lncRNA from 1 species